CUGCAGCCCGAGUGGUGAUCGAUUUUAUUGAGCCUAAAGCGUCCGUAGCCGGUCUAGUAAACUCUUGGGUAAAUUGGGCAGCUUAACUGUCCAAAUUCCGAGGGGACUGCUAGUCUUGGGACCGGGAGAGGUCAGAGGUACUCAAGGGGUAGGGGCUAAAUCCUGUAAUCCUUGGGGGACCACCAGUGGCGAAGGCGUCUGACUAGAACGGAUCCGACGGUAAGGGACGAAACCCUGGGGCGCGAACCGGAUUAGAGACCCGAGUAGUCC
rnacentral:rRNA from 1 species